AAAAAAGCAGGGGCAUGUUUUUCCUGUGUAAGCAUGUCUCUCGUUAGCUUCAGGGACAUCGUUAACAUUGUUUUUGGGUGAGCCUCUGUAUUUUUGUGACUGAAGGUUCAGUAAAUGAUGGAAAAUAU
rfam:Cajanus cajan Scaffold136490_42, whole genome shotgun sequence.